rnacentral:misc_RNA from 1 species
AUAUGUGACGUUGAUUUGCAUCAGACACAGCCUGUUGUUGCAUUUGCUGUUGAUUUUGUUGUUGCUGUUGUUGUUGUUGUUGUUGUUGCUGUUGUUGUUGUUGUUGCUGUUGCUGCUGUUGUUGUUGUUGCUGUUGCUGUUGCUGUUGCUGUUGCUGUUGCUGUUGCUGUUGCUGUUGCUGUUGUUGCUGUUGUUGCUGUUGCUGUUGCUGUUGUUGCUGUUGUUGUUGUUGCUGUUGCUGUUGCUGUUGCUGUUGCUGUUGCUGUUGUUGUUGUUGCUGUUGUUGUUGUUGCUGUUGUUGAUGUUGUUGUUGUUGUUGUUGUUGUUGUUGUUGUUGCUGCUGCAAGCCACCAAUGCCUGCCUGAGGACUGCCAAGUCCGACCGAUGGGGUAUCCGGCGUGCUAACUUGGCGCGCGAUCUUCCGAUAACUCUGCAAUCA